UACGAAGGGGGGCUAGCGUUGUUCGGAAUUACUGGGCGUAAAGCGCACGUAGGCGGAUAUUUAAGUCAGGGGUGAAAUCCCAGAGCUCAACUCUGGAACUGCCUUUGAUACUGGGUAUCUUGAGUAUGGAAGAGGUAAGUGGAAUUGCGAGUGUAGAGGUGAAAUUCGUAGAUAUUCGCAGGAACACCAGUGGCGAAGGCGGCUUACUGGUCCAUAACUGACGCUGAGGUGCGAAAGCGUGGGGAGCAAAC
rnacentral:rRNA from 1 species